GUGCCAGCAGCCGCGGUAAUACGAAGGGACCUAGCGUAGUUCGGAAUUACUGGGCUUAAAGAGUUCGUAGGUGGUUGAAAAAGUUGGUGGUGAAAUCCCAGAGCUUAACUCUGGAACUGCCAUCAAAACUUUUCAGCUAGAGUAUGAUAGAGGAAAGCAGAAUUUCUAGUGUAGAGGUGAAAUUCGUAGAUAUUAGAAAGAAUACCAAUUGCGAAGGCAGCUUUCUGGAUCAUUACUGACACUGAGGAACGAAAGCAUGGGUAGCGAAGAGGAUUAGAUACCCUCGUAGUCCAUGCCGUAAACGAUGUGUGUUAGACGUUGGAAAUUUAUUUUCAGUGUCGCAGGGAAACCGAUAAACACACCGCCUGGGGAGUACGACCGCAAGGUUAAAACUCAAAUGAAUUGACGGGGACCCGCACAAGUAGUGGAGCAUGUGGUUUAAUUCGAAGAUACGCGCAGAACCUUACCAACACUUGACAUGUUCGUCGCGACUCUAAGAGAUUAGAGUUUUCGGUUCGGCCGGACGAAACACAGGUGCUGCAUGGCUGUCGUCAGCUCGUGUCGUGAGAUGUUGGGUUAAGUCCCGCAACGAGCGCAACCCUCACUUUUAGUUGCCAUCAUUAAGUUGGGCACUCUGAAAGAACUGCCAGUGAUAAGCUGGAGGAAGGUGGGGAUGACGUCAAGUCCUCAUGGCCCUUACGUGUUGGGCUACACACGUGCUACAAUGGCAUCUACAACAGGAAGCAAAACGGCAACGUUAAGCAAAUCCCGAAAAGAUGCCUCAGUUCGGAUUGCACUCUGCAACUCGAGUGCAUGAAGCUGGAAUUACUAGUAAUCGUGGAUCAGCGUGCCACGGUGAAUGCGUUCCCGGGUCUUGUACACACCGCCCGUCACACCAUGGGAGUUGGUUCUACCUUAAGGCAAGGUUUUAAACCCUUGACCACGGUAUAGUCAGCGACUGGGGUGAAGUCGUAACAAGGUAGCCGUAGGGGAACCUGCGGCUG
rnacentral:rRNA from 1 species